GAUGUCGCCCAAUCGGAAUGAAGGGAGGGCGGGAUCAGUGAAAACCACGUGAUCAUCCACGAGUGCGGUGCAGAGUCGCUGAGAUAACCGGAACUGCAGAUGCUGGAGAAUCCGAGAUAACACGGUGUGCAGCUGGAUGUACACAGCAGGAAAGCUGACGUUUCGGGCCUAGAUCCUUCGCUGAGACCAAGAUUUGUGCAAUUGAGAUACCAGCGAUCGUUGCCAAAGCCCUGUUACCUGUGGAGAAGGUGAUGUUUAACUUUCGUGUGCUACUGCAGUUUGUAUGAUAAAGGUGCUCUCACAAUGCUCCAUUUGAGAAGUUACAGAUCAUUCAUCUAGCGAUACUGAAGAGCUAAUGGUGAUAUUACAAGUGGACUUUCAGGUAGGAAGCUCAAUAAUUGUAACACCAAACUCUGACAGAAUUACUCAAUUCAUCAGGACCUGGAUAUUCGCAUUGUGUAUUCCCACAAUUUUACUUCUGCACUAUUCUUAGUCUUUCAGAGGGAUCGAAAGGUUGAGUUACAGAUCUAUACAAUGACUGUCCUUCCUCGCUGGCUUCCCCCACCUCUCUUUUGGUAGUUUUAUGCAAACACUGACUGGAUCCCUUACCUGGAGGAUAUUUAUGAAUGAAUUUGUUCUAAUGGUGAUCCAGCAUUUUCCCCAAGUAUCGCUCCACACAUGCCCAGAGAAUUUCUCAGUUUCACAAUCUGUGUCCUUCUGGUUUCUUACUCGCUACACUUAACUUUCUGUUUGAAAGUAUAGUCUGCAGUUGGAGAAUUUUAACAGGUCCACAUCCAGGUCUGACGGUCACUUUGUUUAUCACAACCCAAUUAUCUCAGGGUUUUGAACAUUGAAGGAAAACGCAGCACUCACAUUGGGGAGAAAUGCACAUGGUGUGUGUGUUGAAGAGUCUGUGAAGAUUCAUCUGAAAUGUCCGAACACCAGUGCAGUGACACUGGGAGACAGUGUGGAAAUGUGCAGAUUGCAGGAAGGAAUUUCUUCAUCCAUCCCAGCUAGAAACUGACCACCAGAGUCACACUGGAGAGAGACCAUUGGCCUGUUCUGCAUGAGGGAAAGGCUUUGCUGAUUCGAAUUCCCCGCUGAUACACCAGCGAGUUCACUCUGGGGAGAGACCUUUCAUGAGCUCUGAGUGUGGGAAGGGAUUCAUUGUCAUCCAAACUGUUAACACACCAGCGAGUUCACAGACAACCACAGUUGAAGAACUUUGCUGUCACUCUCACUAUCAAAUGAACCAUGGUUUUGGGCUGUUUGUACAGAUGUUACCGACCCCUGCUCAAUUAAAGGUGCUGGUAUUGUGAAUAAAAUGUCACACUAACAGUUGUGUAAGGUA